GACGAACGCUGGCGGCGUGCUUAACACAUGCAAGUCGAACGGAAAGGCUCCAGCUUGCUGGAGUACUCGAGUGGCGAACGGGUGAGUAACACGUGGGUAAUCUGCCCUGCACUCUGGGAUAAGCCUGGGAAACUGGGUCUAAUACUGGAUAUUACCUUUCUCCUUAUGGUGUUUGGUGGAAAGUUUUUCGGUGUAGGAUGAGCCCGCGGCCUAUCAGCUUGUUGGUGGGGUGAUGGCCUACCAAGGCGACGACGGGUAGCCGGCCUGAGAGGGUGAUCGGCCACAUUGGGACUGAGAUACGGCCCAGACUCCUACGGGAGGCAGCAGUGGGGAAUAUUGCACAAUGGGCGGAAGCCUGAUGCAGCGACGCCGCGUGAGGGAUGACGGCCUUAGGGUUGUAAACAUCUGUCAGCAGGGACGAAGCGUAAGUGACGGUACCUGCAGAAGAAGCACCGGCUAACUAUGUG
rnacentral:rRNA from 1 species